GCCAGCAUGGUGUAAUGGUUUGAGUGUUGGACUACCACUCUGGAGAUCUGUGUUUGAUUCCACAUUCUGACA
rnacentral:tRNA from 1 species